UAGUCGCCGAAAGUCUAAGGGUUUCGAAAUAUAAGAGUUCGACUUAUUCGAUUAAAACGGCCCCUAAGGUCAAAGCGAAAGCUGUAGCCGAUGGGAUAUUUUUAAAAUUUCUUUUGUGUAUGACGAAAAAGUUAUGAUUAUGUCUUUUUGAAGGCAAAGUCAAUUUUUUCCAGGAAAAAGUCACAAAAUAUAAGACCGUACCCCAAACCGACACAGGUAGAUUGGUAGAGUAUACUAAGGCGCGUGAGAGAACCAAGUUUAAGGAACUCGGCAAAAUGACCUCGUAACUUCGGGAGAAGAGGUACUCCUUUUGAGGAGUGACACAAAAUCGGGGGUAACGACUGUUUAAUAAAAACACAUGACUCUGCUAAAUCGUAAGAUGAUGUAUAGGGUCUGACACCUGCCCGGUGUUGAUAAAUGAAAGUCAAAAGUUUUAAAGCUUUUGAUAUAAGUUCCAGCAAACGGCGGCUGUAACCAUAACGGUCCUAAGGUAGCGAAAUUCCUUGUCAGGUAAGUUCUGACCUGCAUGAAUGGUGUAACGACUUUCCCACUGUCUCCAAUACUAACCUAGUGAAAGUGAAUUCUCUGUUAAGAUGCAGCGUAGCGACGGCUAGACGGAAAGACCCUGUGCACCUUUACUAUAUUUUUAUAUUGCUUUUGUAACAUCUUUGUAUAGGAUAAUUGUUAGCCGUUAUUAAAAACCCUUAGCGCCAGCUAAUUGGUAAGGCACCCUUGGAAUAGCAAUCUUUGAUUUUACAUUAGCUAAAUUUAUUUAAAAAUUAAAUUACAAUAUAUGAAAGGUAGUUUAACUGGGGCGGUUACCUCCUAAAAAGUAACGGAGGCGCGCGAAGGUAAAUAAGAUUUGAUUUAAUUAAAUCUUUAGCUUAAUGGCUUAAAUUUGCCUGAUUGUAAAACCUACAGGUUGAACAAAGACGAAAGUCUGUCAUAGUGAUCCAAUAAAAUAUUGUGGAAUAAUUAUUGCUCAACGGAUAAAAGGUACGCCAGGGAUAACAGGCUUAUGACUCUUUAGAGUUCCUAUCGAUAGAGUCGUUUGGCACCUCGAUGUCGACUUAUCGCAUCCUGGAGCUGAAGUAGGUUCCAAGGGUUCGGCUGUUCGCCGAUUAAAGCGGUACAUGAGUUGGGUUUAGAACGUCGUGAGACAGUUUGGUCCCUAUCUACCGU
rnacentral:rRNA from 1 species